UGGGGGAUAUUGCACAAUGGGGGGAACCCGUGAUGCAGCGACGCCGCGUGGGCGAGGGAGCGCCUCGGCGCAUAAAGCCCUUUCGGCGGGGGGAGAACGAUGACGGUACCCGACGAAGAAGCACCGGCUAAAUACGUGCC
rnacentral:rRNA from 1 species